CCGUGUUUGCGAUCUGAACCUUUGCUACCUACAAGGAGGGUGUCUCACCGAACGGUAGCUAAGACCUCGCCAGAACCGCGCGGAAGUGAGGAGUCGCGGCCAAAGGCGCCCGCCGGAGCCUCCUCUCUGGGCCGGACCCCAGCCCGAGCGGCCGAAGGAGCCCCCAGCCCGGAUCGCAGGCUGCCAUGAAGACCAAGAUCUAAGCAAAUGCAUUUUGCUGGCAUCUAAAACGGUGGAAACAGAAUGUCAGAGAGUGAGAAAGAGUGGCCCUGAGCUAACACCUGUGCCAAC